UACGUAGGAGGCGAGCGUUAUCCGGAUUCAUUGGGCGUAAAGAGCGCGUAGGCGGCCUGUUAAGUCAGUUGUGAAAUCUCCCGGCUCAACCUGGAGAGGUCAACUGAUACUGGCGGGCUUGAGGGCAGCAGAGGGAGGUGGAAUUCCCGGUGUAGCGGUGAAAUGCGUAGAGAUCGGGAGGAACACCAGUGGCGAAGGCGGCCUCCUGGGCUGUUUCUGACGCUGAGGCGCGAGAGCGUGGGGAGCAAACAGG
rnacentral:rRNA from 1 species